UAUAUUAAAAUAACAAAUACAUAAUUUAUAAAUUUUAUUUAACCUAAUACAUGAUAAUCACAAGUACAGAUUAAAAUAAAAUCCCCAAACCUAAUAUUCAUCAUCUUCAACCUCCAUAUCUCACCACUAUCUUCAGCCUCCGACUCCCACACGACCACAUGUCCCGACACUGUGCUAUUCUCUUCACCCUGUCCUCAACCUUAGCAGUCGCUACUUCCUUCUCUCUUCUUCUCAACGCAACUGCCACUUUCCACCCACCACACUCCUCUUCUCUCCUCUCAAGCCGCCACCUCCCCCUCUCUCUGCUCGUUGCUGUUACCUCCUCCUCUUUAUCCUCGCGCGGCCACCACCUCCUCUCGUGCUCGCCCGCGACCGCCACCUCCUCCUCUGCUCGCGUGCAGCCACCAGAUGGAACUGGCCAUGACCCAAACGCCCAGUUCUGCUUCUGAUCUGACGGAGUAAAUGCCUACAACCUUAGCUGACCACGACGGGGAGCCGUCCAAAGGAGUUUCCCCUCAGAUCUACGCCCACUGCCCCUGCGACCAUCUCCCAUUCCCGAUCUGUUCAUCGCCACCGCGCUGCUUUGCGGCUGCGCCGCCACCACCAUCUCGUUCCUCUGACUUCCGAGCACCACCGCCAUUCUCUUUCCCAGCACCAAGGCAGGGUAGUUCAUGUGUCAAAUUUGACGGAAAAUUACACUUAAAACAGGUGUUUGAAUUCAAGGUUCCAGGUUUGGGUUUGUAGGGGUUGUUGAUGAUGAUGGAUGAAGACAUGAAUUGAUGUAGAUGAUGAUGUUGGGAGAUGAUGAUGAAUUGUUCAAUGGGUGAGAACACCGGGUGUUUUAUGGAUCAAGAUGUUGGGAGAUGAUGAUGAAUUGUUCAAGACGAUGAAUUAAUCAAGAUGUUGGGAGAUGAUGAUGAAUUGAUAAAUAUGAUGAAUUGUUUAAUGGAUGAAAAUUACACUUAAAACGCGUGUUUUAAUUACUGAAUUUUUUUUAUUUAA